AACGAACGCUGGCGGCAGGCCUAACACAUGCAAGUCGAGCGAGAUCUUCGGGUCUAGCGGCGGACGGGUGAGUAACGCGUGGGAAUAUGCCCUUUGGUACGGAAUAGCCUCGGGAAACUGAGAGUAAUACCGUAUGUGCCCUUCGGGGGAAAGAUUUAUCGCCAAAGGAUUAGCCCGCGUUGGAUUAGGUAGUUGGUGGGGUAAUGGCCUACCAAGCCUACGAUCCAUAGCUGGUUUGAGAGGAUGAUCAGCCACACUGGGACUGAGACACGGCCCAGACUCCUACGGGAGGCAGCAGUGGGGAAUCUUAGACAAUGGGGGCAACCCUGAUCUAGCCAUGCCGCGUGAGUGAUGAAGGCCUUAGGGUUGUAAAGCUCUUUCAGCUGGGAAGAUAAUGACGGUACCAGCAGAAGAAGCCCCGGCUAACUCCGUGCCAGCAGCCGCCGUAAAAC
rnacentral:rRNA from 1 species